UCCUCCCUCUUUCUCCGUGCUUAACACAUGCAAGUCGAACGGAAAGGCCCUGCUUUUGUGGGGUGCUCGAGUGGCGAACGGGUGAGUAACACGUGAGUAACCUGCCCUUGACUUUGGGAUAACUUCAGGAAACUGGGGCUAAUACCGGAUAGGAGCUCCUGCUGCAUGGUGGGGGUUGGAAAGUUUCGGCGGUUGGGGAUGGACUCGCGGCUUAUCAGCUUGUUGGUGGGGUAGUGGCUUACCAAGGCUUUGACGGGUAGCCGGCCUGAGAGGGUGACCGGCCACAUUGGGACUGAGGUACGGCCCAGACUCCUACGGGAGGCAGCAGUGGGGAAUAUUGCACAAUGGGCGGAAGCCUGAUGCAGCAACGCCGCGUGCGGGAUGACGGCCUUCGGGUUGUAAACCGCUUUCGCCUGUGACGAAGCGUGAGUGACGGUAAUGGGUAAAGAAGCACCGGCUAACUACGUG
rnacentral:rRNA from 1 species